ensembl:lncRNA
CGGGGGCCCCCUGAAAAAAAAAUCCCUCCUUUCUUACCCCAAAGCUCCACCUUUUUUCAAGACUUUGGCUCUUAAAUAAUUACGUCUUCAAAAACAUCAUCUCUCAAUAAAAAUGCAAGUAUGAGCAAGGGUUACACUUGAGAGGCAGAGAGAACGGCUGGGCUAACCCUAAACAGCCCCUAACCACAAAUGAUUUCUUUGUAAUUCUCAGCUCACAUGAGAUUCCUGUUUCUGCUAUAGACCAUUUCUGUCUUUCUAAUGCUUGGGGAAUAUGAUAAUUUGUGCAUUUUCAAUCUCCAAUUUAAAAAAAUUAUUUAUUUAUUUGAAAGGCAGGAUGACAGAGGAGGGAAGAGACAGACAAAGGGAGGGAGAGAGGGAGAGAAUCAUUCCCCAAGUGGCUGUACCAGCCAGGGCUAGGUCAAGCAUAAGCCGGGAGCCAGGAACUCCAUCUGGGUCUCCUGUGUAGGUGGCGGGGGCCACAUACGUGGGCUGUUAUCUGCUGCCUUCUCAGGCACAUUAGCGUGGAGUUGGAUCAGAAGCUGAGCAGCCAGGACUCCAAAAAGGCAUUCUGGUAUGGGAUGCUGGUGCUGCAAGCCGUGGCUUAGUGUGUGCCACAAUUGUGAACCCUCGAUUUUACUUUUAGAUGACAAACUCACUGAAGGCAAAGGUGGAUUUGCACUUUUUGUAUCUCCCCGACAUCUGCUAUCCUGUCCACCUGUAAAAUGAACAUAUUGAGGGGAUGUCCCAAGCACAGAAAGAUCCUAGGAUGGACAUAUUAGGAGAAACUGUGGCUAAAAUAGGUCUUUAUGGCUGCUAGUAUUUUACCUAUUUGGGAGAAUGGUUUUAUUUUGCAUAAAGAGUUGUUAGCUCCAAGGACUUCUAUCCCACUCCAUCUUCCCCUUCUCCGUAAGGACACCUUUGAAUUCACCCCAGCUUUCACCCAAAACGUAUCCCGAGCUCCCCAUACUGGCUUGGCAACCACCAUAAGCCGUCUCUUGGUUCCCCCUGGAAACUGGAGUACCUUGCUUUCUUUCUACCUUUACCAGAGCGCCCUCUGCUGGAAGUACCUAGAAGCAGUUAUCAAAAUUGGGCUUGGAGAAUUGGCAUUCCCAUCCACUCACACCCUCCCCACCAACAGCCGGGAAGGAUGCCUUCUUUUUCUCACUGUGGGGGGAAAGAGGAACAUUUCCGUUCCCUUUUUGAUUUCCCACUUCCCUCUCCUCUGUGAAGACGGAACCCUACCCGAUUGUGCCUCUUCACAAUUUGGAGGAUGUUCCUGUGUAUCUCAGCCUUUCUCACGCCACUUCAGGAUGCUGACUAUGGAUCUAUAGCUCUAGUCCAAACCUCCAGGGUUUCAUGAGACAUGGCUACUUGGAUAUCUCAGAGGCACUUCAAACUCAAUGCAUACAAUAUGGGAAUCAUCUUUCAAGCCUGCUUCUCUUCUGUGUUUUGACUGGACGUUUAUCCACUCAGUUACCAAGUGUGAAACUUGGGAGUCUUGCUACCUUGGCCCAUUUCCUCACCCCCUACAUUGCAUCAGCUGGCAAGUCCUACCACAUCUAUCUUCCCAAUGAGUUUUCCAGCCAUUCCCUCCUGUACAUCCCCCUACCACUCCCUCAUCACAUUUUGAUUUGGGAUUACCUGCUAAUUCCUCUAUGCCCAGAAAGCCAGCUGUCCCCUCACUACUGGCAGUUCACAUCUUACAAAAUUCUUAGAUAGCAGUGGAAGAUGGCCCAAGUCCUUGGGUCCCUACACCCACAUGGGAGACACAGAAGAAACUCCUGACUCCUGGCUUCAGAUUGGCCCAGCUCCGUCUGUUGUAGCCAUUUGGGGAGUAAGCCAGUGGAUGGAAGACCUCUCUCUGUGUCUCUACAUCUCUGUAACUCUGUCUUUCAAAUAAAUAAAAUAAAUCUUUUAAAAAAAUUCUUGGU